UAUAGUUUGCAGCUUCUCAUGGGAAUUCUCCGAGAAACUAUAGAGUCCAAACCCUCUGUUUUUCAUGCUUCCAAGUCUCUCCAAUAUUCAAUAUAUAUUAUUAGCUUUUGCUUUUGCUCUCUCUCUCCAAGGAAGUUUCCAUUCUUGUCCUCAUUUCCUUUCAUCACUUAACGUCAUUUCCCCACCAAACCAAACUGAUUUCCCAAUUUGUAUGUGCUCGCAUACUAUAAUAUUAUAAUACAGUUAUAUUAUUAUUAUUAUUCCACAUACACUUUAGAAUCAAGGUUCCAAAGCAAGCUAGGUAGCUUCUCUUAUCUUCAUUUUGAGGCUCUUAAACUAAAACAUGGUGCCAAUCACCACAUGCUUCUUGAUGAUUAUCUCCUCGGUGUUCUAUGUUUUCCGGGAUGCGGCGCAAACCGUCCUCGCCGAAGAUUUCAGCCCUGAAAAUCACCUAGGCUUUCCAUUCACCACAAUGGGCUACGGUAUCUCCCACCCCGACGUGCCACUCCUCAUCUAAACAUCUCGUCAAUGCAUGCUAGGUAUGUAAGUGUUUGGUAUUAGAACACUACACAAAAUACAGAGACACAAAAACAGAAACAAUACAUAAGUUUCUAUGUAUCUUGUGUUUCCUUAAUUUCAAGGUUUGUGUUUAGGGAUGUAGUGUUCUAUGUUGAUUAAUGUAUUUUGUGGAUCCUUGAAUGGAACUUACUACUAGUUUGAUUUUGUUUGUGUAAUUAAUUAACUGUAGAAUUUAGUGGAAAGUUUGUGGUUCUGUGUAACAUUGGGUUUGCUUUUGCUUCAAGUUAUGGCACC
rnacentral:lncRNA from 1 species